CCUACGGGUGGCAGCAGUGGGGAAUAUUGGACAAUGGGCGAAAGCCUGAUCCAGCCAUGCCGCGUGUGUGAAGAAGGCCUUCGGGUUGUAAAGCACUUUCAGUGGGGAAGAAAGCCUUGGGGCUAAUACCCUCGAGGAAGGACAUCACCCACAGAAGAAGCACCGGCUAACUCCGUGCCAGCAGCCGCGGUAAUACGGAGGGUGCGAGCGUUAAUCGGAAUUACUGGGCGUAAAGCGCGCGUAGGCGGUCUGAUAAGCCGGUUGUGAAAGCCCCGGGCUCAACCUGGGAACGGCAUCCGGAACUGUCAGGCUAGAGUGCAGGAGAGGAAGGUAGAAUUCCCGGUGUAGCGGUGAAAUGCAUAGAGAUCGGGAGGAAUACCAGUGGCGAAGGCGGCCUUCUGGACUGACACUGACGCUGAGGUGCGAAAGCGUGGGUAGCAAACAGGAUUAGAUACCCUUGUAGUC
rnacentral:rRNA from 1 species